rnacentral:tRNA from 1 species
GGAGAGGUCGCAUAGUGGCCUAGUGCGCAGCUUUGGAAAAGCUGUAUAUCCGCAAGGAUAUCGAGGGUUCAAAUCCCUCCCUCUCCG